rnacentral:lncRNA from 1 species
GGGGAGUGAUAGCCUGGGGAGAAAUGCCAAAUGUGGGUGAAGGGGAGAAAGGAAGCAAAACACACUGCCAUGUGUGUACCUAUGCAACUGUCUGCACAUGUACCCCAAAACCUAAAAUGCAAUAAAAAUUUUUUUAAAAAAAGACAAAAAAUAACAUGCUAGCAAGGAUGUGGAGAAUAGGAAACUCUUCUUCAUUCUUAGCGGGAAUAUAAAGUAGUACUGCACGUAUGGAUAACAGUGUGGAGGUUCCUAAGAAACUACAAUCUACCCUGUGAUCAGCAGUUCCAUUGCUGGGUAUUAAUCCAAAGGAAAUGAGACCAUGAUAUCAAAGAGACAUCUAUGCUCCCAUGUUUAUUGCAGCACUAUAUGCAAUAGCCAUAUGGAAUCAACUUAGGUAUCCCACAUCAAAUGAAUGGUAAAGAAAAUGUGACAUACACAUGGCAGAGCACUAUUCAGCCAUAAAAAAGAUUGAAAUAUCAUUUGCAGCAACAUGGGUAGAACUAGAGGACAUUAUGUUAAGUGAAAUAAGCUAGGAAUAGAAAGUAAGCAUGGCAUGUUCUCACUCAUAUAUGGAAGCUAAAAAAGUUUGCGCUCCUAAAAAUAAAGAGUAUAAUAGAGGAUGCUAAAGGCAGGGAACGUAGGGAAUAGUGAGAGAUUUGUUAAGGAUAUAAUAUAGAGUGAAAUAUGAGGAAUAUGUUUUAGUGUUCUAUACCCCUGAUAUGGUUAGGCUUUGUGUCCCCACCUAAAUCUCACCUUAAAUUGUAAUUCCCACAUAUCUAUGGAGAGAGGUGACUGGAUCAUGGGAGCAGUUUUCCCUGAGGUAUUCUCAUGAUCAUGAAUGAGUUCUCAUGAGAGCUUAUGGCUUCAAAAAGAAUUCCUCUCCCCAUCGCUUUUUUUCUCUCUCAUCCUCUGCCAUGUAAGACGUGCCUCUUCCCUUUCUGCCACGAUUGUAAGUUUCCUGAGGCCUCCCAGUUGUGGGGGGAGCCUGUAUUUUUUUUAACAACAUCCCCAAUCCCCAGUUGUUCCUCCCCCUUCCCAUGCUGCCAACUUCUAACCGCAAUAGUGACUCUGUGCUUGUCUGUUUAGUUCUGUGUAUAAAUGGAAUGUUGUGGAGAUGACCCCUCCCUGUGCCCGCUGGUUCCUCUCCCUUUUCCCCUGGUCACUGCUACUCAUGGAAGCAGGACCACUAAGGGACCUUUGAUUUAAAAAAAGACAACAAAAAGACUCAUUAAUGAGAAAAAUAAUAAUAAUAAUAAUAAAUAAAGUCACAAAAUUAGGAAGAAAAUGUCACCAGAGAGAAUGACAAGUAGGAGUUGUGGGAGCCCAGAUAAAUAGAGCAGAUUUAAAAGAUCUAUAACGCUGAAUUAUUUCUGAUGUUUUUAAACCACAUGCUUUCAGAAUAACUACAUUUCCUAAUUACCUCUACUAUAAAUUGAAAUUUCUGAAGUUUUCUUUUCCUUUUCAAUGCUAUUCUCUAUACUCUCAAUCUUACAACCAGAAUGGAAAAGCCUUUUUACUGAGAACCACUCUACCCAACAAAUCUCAAGAACCCAAGAAAAACAUAACCAAGGACUAGUACAUGCACAAAAACAAACACAACUUUUUUCACUCAAUUAGAGAGAAAGAGGUCAACGUGAAGAAAUGUUAACCAUGAAACACAGGGAAGAAUGAAGAGGGCUUGGUCCAAGCAGCUAGUAGAUAGCACCACUGGAAUCUGAACCCAGGUCUGUCUGAUUCCAAAGCCCACAAUCCUUCAAUUUUACAGCCUAUCUCAGACACAAAUGCAAGUUUAACCUGUCUGUAAAAAGUAAGGAAAGGUACCAGUAGAGAAGAAAAUAUUCAGUCUACAAAAGAUAGGCGGUUGUUCAUAGGACCAGCCCCACGGAAGAACUAGAGAAAUAUAAGAGUCAUUGAAUAGUAGGUACAGUCACAGAAAUGCUGUGAGUGCAUAAAGAAACAGAGAGGCUAAAAGAAUAUCAUUUAAUGACAGAAAGAUACAAACUGUCUCAAAAACAAUUGACACAUUUAUGGUCUUCAGUGAACUUGUUUUCUUUGACUUUCUGUAUCUGAAGGCUAAAUGGUGCCUAUCUCUCCCUCUUCUUGGUUUUUGCGCUAUGAGCAAAUUAAAACUGGGCUAGGCUGGGCAUGGUGGCUCAAGCCUGUAAUCCCAGCACUUUGGGAGGCCGAGGCAUAUGGAUCACGAGGUCAACAGAUCGAGACCAUCUUGGUCAACAUGGUGAAACCCUGUCUCUACUAAAAAUACAAAAAAUUAGCUGGGCAUGGUGGCGCGUGCCUGUAGUCCCAGCUACUCAGGAGGCUGAGGCAGGAGAAUUGCCUGAACCCAGUAGGCGGAGGUUGCGGUGAGCUGAGAUCGCGCCAUUGCACUCCAGCCUGGGUAACAAAAGUGAAACUCCGUCUCAAAAAAAAAAAAAAAAAACUGGGCUAGAUCUCAUCCACAGACUGCAGAUUUUUAUUCCUUCCACCUAUCUUCAAACCACGCAAAGACUCCCUCCAAAAUCCACACCCUCUUCCACAUGUGCCUCACCUGCUCCUGCCCUGAUCCUUUGCUGAAAUUACUGUGUUUGUUAAGCCUUAUGGGCAUCAAUCUAUAUCCCUUCUUAAAAACUGCUAAAGUUUCUUUGAAGUCUUCUGGGACCAAUCCCAUGGAGUCAAAUCAGAUGAUUUGAUCAGCCUCUACCCAGCAGCCAUGAACUGUGAAUAUUUCCAUGUAAUUUUGAUGAUUUCCAUGUACUGAUUGUUGUGUUUUCAUGAAUAACAUUUAUGUUUGACUUUAUAUUUCUGUAAAAAUGGUACUAGCAGAUUGACAGACCAGCUUAAUCACAGCUAUGGUGGGGUGGGGAGAGAGAAGUGGGGGCGAGAGAGAGAGAAAGAAAGAAAAGAGCAGAGCAGAAGGAGAAGAGAGAGGAGAGGGAGAUAGGAAGAGGAGGAGGAGGAGGAAGAAGAAGAAAAGAAGGAGGAGGAGGAGGAGAAAGGAGAGGAGAAGGAGGAGAAAGGAGGAAGAAGAAGAAAAAAAAAUGAAAGAGAAAGA